rnacentral:misc_RNA from 1 species
GAUGAAGAACGCAGCGAAAUGCGAUACUUGGUGUGAAUUGCAGAAUCCCGUGAACCAUCGAGUCUUUGAACGCAAGUUGCGCCCGAAGCCUCGGCUAAGGGCACGUCUGCCUGGGCGUCACGCAUCGCGUCUCCCCCAAACCGCCAAGGCGGAGGGGAAGGAAGAUGGCUUCCCGUGCCUCACCCGGCGCGGUUGGCCUAAAUUUGGAGCCCGCGGCACUUAGCUCUCGCGGCGAUAGGUGGUGAACAAGGCCUUGGCCGUGCAAACAACCCGCUGCGAAGCUCUAUGUCACGUGCGCUCGUCGGACCCUUUGAAGUUGCCUUCGGUGACUUAAAACCUUUGCGACCCCAGGUCAGGCGGGGCUACCCGCUGAAUUUAAGCAUAUCAAUAAGCGGGA